rnacentral:tRNA from 3 species
GCUCCAGUAGCUUAACCGCCAAAGCACCGGUCUUGUAAACCGAAGAUUGAAGGUUAAACUCCUUCCUGAAGCU